UACGAAGGGGCUAGCGUUGUUCGGAAUUACGUGGGCGUAAAGGGCGCGUAGGCGUCAGCACAAGUCAGUUGUGAAAUCUCCGGGCUUAACUCGGAAAGGUCAACUGAUACUGUGCGACUAGAGGUGCAGAAGGGGCAACUGGAAUUCUCGGUGUAGCGGAUGAAAUGCGUAGAUAUCGAGAGGAACACCUGCGGCGAAGGCGGGUUGCUGGGCAGUAGCUGACGCUGAUGACGCGACGAGCGAUGGGGAGCAACAGG
rnacentral:rRNA from 1 species